rnacentral:rRNA from 1 species
AAUGAACGCUGGCGGCAGGCUUAACACAUGCAAGUCGAACGGGUGUAGCAAUACACCAGUGGCAGACGGGUGAGUAACACGUGGGGACCUUCCUAGGGGUACGGAACAACUCAGGGAAACUUGAGCUAAUACCGUAUACGUCCGUGAGGAGAAAGAUUUAUCGCCCUUAGACGGGCCCGCGUCGGAUUAGGUAGUUGGUGGGGUAACGGCCUACCAAGCCUACGAUCCGUAGCUGAUCUGAGAGGAUGAUCAGCCACGCUGGGACUGAGACACGGCCCAGACUCUUACGGGAGGCAGCAGUGGGGAAUCUUGGACAAUGGGCGAAAGCCUGAUCCAGCCAUGCCGCGUGAGUGAAGAAGGCCUUAGGGUUGUAAAGCUCUUUUGCUAGGGACGAUAAUGACGGUACCUGGAGAAUAAGCCCCGGCAAACUUCGUGCCAGCCGCCGCAGUAAUAC